ensembl:lncRNA LINC02923 long intergenic non-protein coding RNA 2923
ACUCUGUGCUGGCGACUCUCAGGAAGACAGGGAAGAGUCUCACUCUAUCACCCAGGCUGGAGUGCAAUGGCAUGAUCUUGGCUCACUACAACCUCUACCUUCCAGUUCAAGAGAUUUCUCCUGCCUCAGCCUCCGAUGUAGCUGAGACUACAGGGCUACCUGGUUUCUGCCUGAGCAGCAAGUGAUGAAGGAGAGUGAGCGUAUGAGAGAGUAAGAGAGUGAGCCCAAUCGUGGACUGACCACACAAUUGACCCUGGUUUACUGUGAGAAAGGACACAGACUGUGAACACCAGGAGAAAAUCAAGAAAGGAACUGCUCUGUGAUUGUGGUCAGUUUCUGUGGCGCCAGCUCUUCCUGACUGCCUGACAACCACGAUGUACCAGGCAAGCUUGACUACAUUUCCCAGCGUCCUUUGGAGUGAGACUACAUCUCCCAGCAUCCUGGCAGUUAGACAAUUUUCUAGUCUCCUUUGCAGGGAUCUUGGAAGCCCCAUGUUGAAGGUGGCAGAGCAACAAAAAUUGAGGAAACCCUGAAUCCCUGAAUUACUAUUUGGAGAUGACCACCCACUAAUU